UACAGAGGUGGCAAGCGUUGUUCGGAAUUACUGGGCGUAAAGGGCGCGUAGGCGGCCUUCUUAGUCAGACGUGAAAUCCCCGGGCUUAACUCGGGAACUGCGUCUGAUACUGGAAGGCUGGAGUUCGGGAGAGGGAUGUGGAAUUCCAGGUGUAGCGGUGAAAUGCGUAGAUAUCUGGAGGAACACCGGUGGCGAAGGCGGCAUCCUGGACCGAAACUGACGCUGAGGCGCGAAAGCCAGGGGAGCAAACGGG
rnacentral:rRNA from 1 species